AGGACGAAGUGCCCUCACCGGCUGAAUCGGGCACCCUGUUUCAGGAAGACGACGACAAGGCAGGCGCCAAGCUAGGAGCCGACGAAAGGGCAAGAAACGAAAACGCUGACCGAACAGUAUACUUGAACACGUCGCCCGAACCGAGCGUUCGCCACGCGCUACCAGCACGAAGUUCAUCUAAUAGCAUCGCCAAUGCCUGUACAACGAGCGACCGAGACUUGCUGUUGUCGGUCAUAGCAGGAGUGUCUAGGCGGCCCCUCAAUCACUUGCCGAUUGCAUCACAAUCCAUCCACCUGGUGAACAUAGAUCGAUCACCGAUCUACAAUAGUACUAUGGAUAAUUACGUCAAGCUAGGAGCCAACGAAAGGGCAAGAAACGAAAACCCUGACCGAACAGUAUACUUGAACACGUCGCCCGAACCGAGCGUUUGCCACGCACUACCAGCACGAAGUUCAUGUAAUAGCAUCGCCAAUGCCUGUACAACGAGCAACCGAGACCUGCAGUUACCGGUAAUAGCAAGAGUGCCUAGACCACCCCGCAGUCACUUGCUGAUCGCGUCACAAUCCAACCACCCGAUCGACACGAAUAGAGCCCCGAUCAACCAUAGUACUAAGAUACCAGCUACAUCAGAUACCAGCGGAAAUCUUUCAGCACCAGAGGAUGCUAUUAGAGGGAAUUUUGAUGGGCGAACACGGCAAGGCCCAUGACUUGCAGGGAAUUCACUGUUUCUUACGAAAUCAAUGACGGAAGGACGACCGCCACUUAUCCAGAGAUUCAACAUUAUGAACGGCGUUUUUGCAUUACGUCAGCAGGCUCCUUCCGAUCCUACCUCAACUGUCACUCUACUGAAACAACGUCUAGCGAGUGGAAGCCACGCACACUAACUCUGCGAUGGUUUCCAAGCACAAUCCGUCUAAGCCAAGGGCUGCCUCCUUUACAGCGAACUCGUCUCUCACUAGUGAAUGUGCUUCUCCCGCUACCUCCGGCUCGAGGCAUCGGUAGGGGCUCACAAAUGUUGAAAUACCGAGUACCGAAGUAUCCUGGUACUCUUCUAGAGUAUAGCCCGGACGCUAUAAGCCCGCAUGCCACAAUCGAAGCAAACUUUGAAGAUGCCGAACAUUCAUCUCAUAAUCUUCGUACUUUGGAACAAACAUGCUCAUCGCCCACACAACUCGACGCCAGCAGGUGUUUCAGUGAAUGACGUGUAAUGACAACAGGAUGACAUGCUGGAGCAACAGCCAACUUUGUUACUAGUGUUCUCAAUGAAAGAAACCAACUGCCCGGUGCCGACUGGCUCAGUUCGAAAUUGCGAUGUGUUUUGGCUUUUCUCUCAAGCGUCCGUUCGACUAUUUGCAUUUCUUUACAUUCUUUAUUUUUUUAGCCUUCAAUGCUUGAAGCUCUGUUUUCAUAAGCCUUUUUCUUAUUAUUAUUGACCUUUCUAAUAUUCUGUACAAGCUGUCGCUGUUCUUGCAAUAAAGUUCAUAUGAAAGCUAC